rnacentral:piRNA from 1 species
UAGGCCUGAUAACAAGUUCCUGUUGAUCCC